AAGAUUUGCAGCUCAACUGCAGAGCAUCUGCCUUGCAUGCAAAAGGUCCCAGGUUCAAUCCCCGGCAAUCUCC